rnacentral:rRNA from 1 species
GCGGUGGAGCAUGUGGUUUAAUUCGAAGCAACGCGAAGAACCUUACCAGGCCUUGACAUGCAGAGAACUUUCCAGAGAUGGAUUGGUGCCUUCGGGAACUCUGACACAGGUGCUGCAUGGCUGUCGUCAGCUCGUGUCGUGAGAUGGUUGGGUUAACGUCCCGUAACGAGCGCAACCCUUGUCCUUAGUUACCAGCACGUUAUGGUGGGCACUCUAAGGAGGCUGCCGGUGACAAACCGGAGGAAGGUGGGGAUGACGUCAAGUCAUCAUGGCCCUUACGGCCUGGGCUACACACGUGCUACAAUGGUCGGUACAAAGGGUUGCCAAGCCGCGAGGUGGAGCUAAUCCCAUAAAACCGAUCGUAGUCCGGAUCGCAGUCUGCAACUCGACUGCGUGAAGUCGGAAUCGCUAGUAAUCGUGAAUCAGAAUGUCACGGUGAAUACGUUCCCGGGCCUU